GCUGCAGAUUAUAUAGGAGGACUUCAUAAUUCACUCAGAAAUCCCAUCAUUGAUACUUUUUCCUAUGGUAUAACUAUUGUUUUGAAUAUAUCCUGCUUCAAAUGAAAGAGAAUGUAUCAAUGUCAAAUUCAAAAGGUAAGUUAGUUAACAUUUCAAAAAUCCCAGUCCUUAUAGUCUUAUCUUACUCUACCCACACUAAUAGAACAUUCUGAACUACAACACAACUGCUUUUUAACAGAUCCUAUUUUUGCUCACAGACUAAGAUACAUCAAAACGGGGAGAAAGAACGUAUGAACUCAGGGAACCACUUUACCCACCUCUACUGAUAAGCCUCUUAACAGCUUCAACUAAUUCUAGUCUUACUAAAUAUAGAUCAGUUCCCCUGUCCCCAGAAUCACCACCACCUACAGCAUGAGCCUGAGGGCUUACCUCCAACAUGACCACGCAGAUCUGUUUGACACACUCAAUGAUGGACUGCGGAAUGCCAGCAAUGGUGAUUGCCCGCUCAGUUGAGUUGGGGAGCAUAUCCCCUGCCACCUGGACCUGAGCCCCUGUACUCUUUAGGGUAAAAGGAAAUUAAACAAACAAAAGAAUUUUCAGAAAACCUGUUCAAUUCCUCACUAUACCAGCUUUAGAUUAUGAAGUUCAAUGGAUCCUUAUUUCCACCCUUUCAUUCUCAUUUCCCAUUCUUCCUUACUCCAGAUACUACUGCUUAUUAAAGUUAAAAAUAAAAUAUGUCUGAGGGACAAGAAUAAAUCUGAGUAACAGCCUACAUUUAACCUGCACUCAGAAAAAAAGUCCCUUCUAUACAAUUUAUUCUUACCCAGUAAUGAAAGCUUUGUGGGUCAAACAAAAUCCUCCUAAUAUCACCCGUUCCACCAGGUAGUGGUGGGCACGCCUUUAAUCCCAGCACUUGGGAGGCAGAAGCAGGCGGAUUUCUGAAUUUGAGGCCAGCCUGGUCUACAGAGUGAGUUCCAGGAUAGCCAGGGCUACACAGAGAAACCCUGUCUGGAAAAACAAAACAAAAACACCCGUUCAUUCUUCUCUUACUGAGCAAAUAUUUCCCUCAAUCCCAUUCUCUAUAUAUAUAUGUCAGGUACCAUUCCAACCAAGUAUUCAUCAAAUGAAAAUCUUACACUGGUAUUUACACUUAUCAUCUCAUCACUGAAAAGGUGGAAGAGGAAAACCAUCUAAGAUGUUUGUGACCAGGCUGGAAUAUAGUGAGAGACUAUAAUAAACUUAACUAAUGUCACCGUCCCCCACACCCACAAACAUAUUCCUGCACCAAAACAACUAACAAUCCUGUACAAAGACUUCAAAAUAUUCCAACUAGUUUUGGAAUCAUUUAGUAACAUUUCAUUUAGACAUGAAAAAUGUCAUGAGAGAUGGCUCAGUAGUUAAGAGCACUGACUGCUCUUCCAAAGGUCCUGAGUUCAAUUCCCAGCAACCACAUGGUGGCUCACAACCAUGUGUAAUGGGAUCUGAUGCCCUCUUCUGGUGUGUCUGAAAACAGCUACAGUAUGUGUACUCAUAUACAUUAAUAAUUAAAUUAAUUGUACAAAAUGAAGGGGGGGGAUGGUAUAGAGACUAUCUAAAAAAAGAAAAAAAAGAAAAAACAUUAUCUAGGGAAAUGCCAGCAAGAUAGCUCAAGAGGUAAAAAUGCCCUGGGGGACUCACAUGGUAGAGGAAAUAAAGACCUGCCAAGACCUGCAAGUUGUCCUGACAAUCAAGUGCAUACACACACACACACACACACACACACACACACACACAUGCGCGCGCACACAAAAUGUAAUAAAUUGUUUCAGGAAUGCAUGUUGCACCUUCCGCUUUCCUUAAAUUACCAGUACUUGAGAUGCAGAGGCAGGAGGAUCUCUAGGCAGCCAGGGAUACACAGUGAGUCCUACUCUGAAAUUUUUAAUUAUUUUAAGGGGCUGGAAAAAUGGUUAGGACCAUUUGUUGCUAUUGCUAGGGUCCUGGGUUUAGUUCCUACUACCAACAUGGAGCUUACAACCAUCUAUAACUCCAUCCAGAAGGUCUAUCUCUUUUCUGAAUUCCACUAAUAACUGGCUCAUAUAUGGUACAUACAUACACACACACAGAGUAAGGCUAAAAGCUUACAAAUAAAAUAAUUCUAUUAAAUUCUUUAGGCUUAUAGAUGGCUCUGGAAUUACAGUAUAUACUGUUCUUGUAGAAAACCUGAGUUCAGGGGCUGAGAGAGGAUGGUGCAGCAGUUAAGAGCACUGAUUGCUCUUCCAAUUGGUCCUGAGUCCAAUUCCUAGCAAUCACAUGGUGGCUCACAACCAUUUAUAAUGAAUUCUGAUAUCCCUAAGUUCAAUUCCGAGCACCCAUAAAAAGUUCACUCUUAACAUGAAAACUCCAGCACCAUGGGCUCCAAAAACCCAACUCACACGCAAAUAAAUCUACAAGUGGCUCAUGACUUUAAUCCCAGCAUUCAGAAGGUAGAGGCAGGAUGCUGUAAGUUCGAGGCCAGCCUGGUUUACAGAGUGAGAUCCAGAACAGUCAGAGCUACAGAGAAACCCUGUCUCAAAAAAAAUCAAAAUAGACAAACAAGUAGAUCAAGUAGAUCUACCCCAAAAAAAAAAAAAAAAUAUUUUUUAGUGGUUCGAUAGAUAAAAACACUGAAUCCCAAUCUACACAUUAGAGUUGGAUGCCAGUGAACCCACAGCCACAUGUGCUUAUAAGUAACUACAAGUAAUGGGGAGAGGCAUAAGCAAGAUGGCUCAGUCUAUAAAAUGCUUAUAGCACAAGAACCAAGAACACCUGUAAAAAGCUGGGGAGGGCGUUUGCAUUUGUGAUCCUAAGACUUUAAGACAAGAGAAUCCCUGGGGGCCGUUUAAAGGACAAACUGGGGAGGCGGGGGGCACACCACACACACACAAAACCCUAACAAACAAAAGUAA
ensembl:lincRNA